CCUACAGGAGGCAGCAGUGGGGAAUAUUGCACAAUGGGGGAAACCCUGAUGCAGCAACGCCGCGUGAGUGAAGGAGUAUUUCGGUAUGUAAAGCUCUAUCAGCAGGGAAGAAAAUUACAGUUCCUGACUAAGAAGCCCCGGCUAACUACGUGCCAGCAGCCGCGGUAAUACGGAGGGGGCAAGCGUUAUCCGGAUUUACUGGGGGGAAAGGGAGCGUAGACGGCUGCGCAAGUCAGAAGUGAAAGCCCGGGGCUCAACCGCGGGACUGCUUUUGAAACUGUGUAGCUAGAGUGCAGGAGAGGUAAGUGGAAUUCCUAGUGUAGCGGUGAAAUGCGUAGAUAUUAGGAGGAACACCGGUGGCGAAGGCGGCUUACUGGACUGUAACUGACGUUGAGGCUCGAAAGCGUGGGGAGCAAACAGGAUUAGAUACCCUUGUAGUC
rnacentral:rRNA from 1 species